AGCUCAGAAGACCAACUUCCUCCGAGCUCUGGAGUGGGCCUCUAAAAGCUAAAAAACUAAGCUGCAAUUUUCUUUGAAGAUUUUUUCAGAAUUCUGUUCCAUCUGUGAAGUCCUAACUACAAGCAAGGCCUCUGCAACAAAGCUUCUGCUCCAGUUACCAGACUCAUUCCAAAAAUAGAAGCACUGUUAUGAAAUGGCCAGACCAUUGGCAAAGCACAGAAAGGACUCCAGCCUCUGUGUCUCGGGGACAGCAACCCUCUUCGACAGCCUUGUUUUGAUGUACAAACACCAGACUGGAAAGUCUCCAUGAAGCAGAGCUGUUUCUACAAUAGUAAAAACUUGGAGGACUUCCCAAAGGCUUCCAUCUGGUGGCAAAGCAGGCUCCUUCUUCAUCUUCUUUGGCUGAGAUCUCAAACCAGUGUCUUUUGGGAAAAUGUCUUGAAAAUAAGCAAUCCACCAAAAUCAUUACCUCUCAGAAUAAGACAAGCCCCUCGGCUGGAAUGAUGAAGUGCAGGUGACAACAAAGAACUGGAUGACAUUCUCUAGACUUUAUUUCAUUGGAAUCAAUAGG